rnacentral:rRNA from 1 species
UACGAAGGGGGGCUAGCGUUGCUCGGAAUCACUGGGCGUAAAGGGUGCGUAGGCGGGUCUUUAAGUCAGGGGUGAAAUCCUGGAGCUCAACUCCAGAACUGCCUUUGAUACUGAGGAUCUUGAGUUCGGGGAGAGGUGAGUGGAACUGCGAGUGUAGAUGUGAAAUUCGUAGAUAUUCGCAAGAACACCAGUGGCGAAGGCGGCUCACUGGCCCGAUACUGACGCUGAUGGACGAAAGCGUGGGGAGCGAACAGG